AAAAUUAGUUCUGAUGGGAUCUUUGCAGAACUAACUGAUUGUAAAGAAGCAGAAGAGAGAACUAACUCUGAUGGGAUCUUUGCAGAACAAACUGAUAACAAAGAAGCAGAAAUUAUACUCUCAAUGGAAGUAGAGGCUGACCAGCAGGAGGACAAUGAAAAAUCUGAUCGGUUGAUAGAGAAGCAAAUGGAAAGAGAAAUAGUAAAUAAUGAGGUUUUUCUACAGUCAGAGGUUGAUAAGCAUGAGAGUAUGGAUGAAUCUGAUGGGUUGAUAGAGAAGCAAAUGGAAAGAGAAAUAGUAAAUAAUGAGGUUUUUCUACAGUCAGAGGUUGAUAAGCAUGAGAGUAUGGAUGAAUCUGAUG
rnacentral:misc_RNA from 1 species